GCUCUCCGCCCAAAGUUCUUAUCUUAGAUUUGUCUAGAUAUAAAUGUAUCUAGUCACAUUGUAGUAUUUAGAUACAUCCAUUUUUAGACAAACCUAAGACAAUAAUUUUGGGACGGAGGGAGUAGUAC
rnacentral:pre_miRNA from 1 species